rnacentral:rRNA from 1 species
CAGUCGCCGCGGUAAUACGAGGGGGGCAAGCGUUGUUCGGAAUUAUUGGGCGUAAAGGGUGCGUAGGCGGUUUGGCAAGUUUGGUGUGAAAUCUUCGGGCUCAACUCGAAGUCUGCAUCGAAAACUGCCGGGCUUGAGUAUGGGAGAGGUGAGUGGAAUUUCCGGUGUAGCGGUGAAAUGCGUAGAUAUCGGAAGGAACACCUGUGGCGAAAGCGGCUCACUGGACCAUAACUGACGCUGAUGCACGAAAGCUAGGGGAGCAAACAGGAUUAGAUACCCCGUAGUCCCUGUCUCUUAUACA